AUUGAACGCUGGCGGCAGGCCUAACACAUGCAAGUCGAGCGGAGCUGCGGACGGGUGAGUAAUGACUAGUGAUCUGCCUGGUAGUGGGGGAUCCCGUCCGGAAACGGGAGCUAAGAACACAGACUAUCAAGUGAGCCUCGGUCGGAUUAGCUAGUUGGAGGGGUAAAGGCCUACCAAGGCGACGAUCCGUAACCGGCCUGAGAGGAUGAUCAGGCACACUGGAACUGAGACACGGUCCAGACUCCUACGGGAGGCAGCAGUGGGGAAUAUUGGGCAAUGGGCGAAAGCCUGAUCGAGCCACGCCGCGUGAGUGAAGAAGGUCUUCGGAUCGUAAAGCACUUUUAUUAGGGAGGCGUUACCAACAGAAAAAGCACCGGCUAACUUCGUGCCAGCAGCCGCGGUAAUAC
rnacentral:rRNA from 1 species